rnacentral:rRNA from 1 species
GACGAACGCUGGCGGCGUGCUUAACACAUGCAAGUCGAACGCGCCUGUCCUCUGUGUUUCUGGGGGGUGGGUGAGUGGCGAACGGGUGAGUAACACGUGAGUAACCUGCCCCCUUCUUCGGGAUAACGGUCUGAAAGGGCUGCUAAUACCGGGUAUUCACUGGUCUCCGCAUGGCGUCUGGUGGAAAGGCUUUUUCCUGGUGGGGGAUGGGCUCGCGGACUAUAAGCUUGCUGGUGGGGUGAUGGCGCACCAAGGCUUUGACGGGGAGACGGCGUGGGAGGGGAGCCGGGACCAUUGGCACUGAGAUAAGGCCGAGACUACUACGGGGGGCAGCAGUGGGGAAAAUUGCGCAAUGGGCGCAAGCCUGAUGCAGCGCCGCCGCGUGAGGGAUGGAGGCCUUCGGGUUGUGAACCUCUUUGGAGGGUGGUCAAGCCGGGAAGUGGGUCGUGGUGAGGGUAGUGGGUAAAGAAGCGCCGGCUAGCUACGUG